rnacentral:rRNA from 1 species
GACGAACGCUGGCGGCGUGCCUAACACAUGCAAGUCGAACGGAGCACUUCGGUGCUUAGUGGCGAACGGGUGAGUAACGCGUGAGCAACCUACCUUUCAGUGGGGGACAACAGUUGGAAACGACUGCUAAUACCGCAUGAUGUCAUCGAGGGACAUCCCUUGGUGACCAAAGCUUUAUGUGCUGAAAGAUGGGCUCGCGUCUGAUUAGCUAGAUGGCGGGGUAACGGCCCACCAUGGCGACGAUCAGUAGCCGGACUGAGAGGUUGAACGGCCACAUUGGGACUGAGACACGGCCCAGACUCCUACGGGAGGCAGCAGUGGGGAAUAUUGCACAAUGGGCGAAAGCCUGAUGCAGCAACGCCGCGUGAGGGAAGACGGUUUUCGGAUUGUAAACCUCUGUCUUUGGUGAAGAAUACGUGACGGUACCUGCAGAAAAGCAACGGCUAACUACGUG